rnacentral:lncRNA from 1 species
GUCGUUCCACCGAGUGCAUUACAUGCACAAGCAAGUUAUAAAAUAAAUGCAUUUAGUAUAAUAAUAUUAGUUACUAUAACGUGGUUUAGAAGCAUUUUCAAGCUUACAAGAUGUACACUUAAUACGUAUCAGACUAAUUUGUAAUUUAGCACGCUUCGCAUUAUACCACGAGGGAACGAUGCGGUGGCGCAAUCACAUCCACUCACCGGGCGAGCAUGGCGGCUAAGCAUCGAAGAGGCCCAGUGUAAACAAACUCGUACAACGAGCUUGCAGUGCGCGACGUAGUGAUAGGGCUCCACGAUGGCCACUAUUUCUUGGAUAGUUCUGUUCCUACGUGAGCAAUCUUUCCAUGCACCCCGUAAGACUGCCAAUAGCUUCGGCGAUUUUACAGAUCGCAACGCGCACCUACUGUUCACGGCAUAAUGCUGAAGAAACAACUUGUCCGGUGCUGUUUCUGUGAGUGCGCUGAGUUCCUCCACUCUGCGUGACUGCGAGCGUCACGAAUAUUACAUAGUGUGUGCAAAAGGAAGGCAGCCUAUAUUGCUACGAUGCGACAGGGAGUUGGCGCCGACGAUGGAUCUGGCAACCAGCAUAGUGAAGGAGACAUCGAGAAACUGCAGAUAAGUAUACUUCUACUGUUUCAUAUUUAGCAUAAUAAUAGUGCACGGAUUAAGUCACUAUCGUAGUAACGAAGUGAAUGUCCAGGAGUUUAAAAAAGGCAUUGAGAACCAAUGAGUGUUCGUGCUUUUACAUGCACGUCGGCCCGCGAAAAUUUAAAAGAUGAAGGAAAACCU